AGAGUUUGAUCAUGGCUCAGAACGUACGCUGGCGGCACGCCUAACACAUGCAAGUCGAACGAAGUAGCAAUACUUAGUGGCAGACGGGUGAGUAACAUGUGGGUAUCUGCCCUUUGGCCUGGAAUAACACGAGGAAACUUGUGCUAAUACCGGAUAAGUCUUUACAGAGAAAGCUUUAUGCACCAUUGGAUGAGCCCGCACUUGAUUAGUUUGUUGGUGGGGUAAUGGCCUACCAAGACUUUGAUCAAUAGCUGAUUUGAGAGGAUGAUCAGCCACAUUGGGACUGAGACACGGCCCAAACUCCUACGGGAGGCAGCAGUGGGGAAUCUUGCACAAUGGAGGAAACUCUGAUGCAGCGAUGCCGCGUGAGUGAAGAAGGCCCUUGGGUUGUAAAGCUCUUUCGUCGGGGAAGAAAAUGACUGUACCCGAAUAAGAAGGUCCGGCUAACUUCGUGCCAGCAGCCGCGGUAAUACGAAGGGACCUAGCGUAGUUCGGAAUUACUGGGCUUAAAGAGUUCGUAGGUGGUUGAAAAAGUUGGUGGUGAAAUCCCAGAGCUUAACUCUGGAACUGCCAUCAAAACUUUUCAGCUAGAGUUUGAUAGAGGAAAGCAGAAUUUCUAGUGUAGAGGUGAAAUUCGUAGAUAUUAGAAAGAAUACCAAUUGCGAAGGCAGCUUUCUGGAUCAUUACUGACACUGAGGAACGAAAGCAUGGGUAGCGAAGAGGAUUAGAUACCCUCGUAGUCCAUGCCGUAAACGAUGUGUGUUAGACGUUGGAAAUUUAUUUUCAGUGUCGCAGCGAAAGCGAUAAACACACCGCCUGGGGAGUACGACCGCAAGGUUAAAACUCAAAUGAAUUGACGGGGACCCGCACAAGUAGUGGAGCAUGUGGUUUAAUUCGAAGAUACGCGCAGAACCUUACCAACACUUGACAUGUUCGUCGCAACUUUAAGAGAUUAAAGUUUUCGGUUCGGCCGGACGAAACACAGGUGCUGCAUGGCUGUCGUCAGCUCGUGUCGUGAGAUGUUGGGUUAAGUCCCGCAACGAGCGCAACCCUCACUUUUAGUUGCCAUCAUUAAGUUGGGCACUCUGAAAGAACUGCCAGUGAUAAGCUGGAGGAAGGUGGGGAUGACGUCAAGUCCUCAUGGCCCUUACGUGUUGGGCUACACACGUGCUACAAUGGUAUCUACAACAGGAAGCAAAACAGCGAUGUUAAGCAAAUCCUUAAAAGAUACCUCAGUUCGGAUUGCACUCUGCAACUCGAGUGCAUGAAGCUGGAAUUACUAGUAAUCGUGGAUCAGCGUGCCACGGUGAAUGCGUUCCCGGGUCUUGUAGA
rnacentral:rRNA from 1 species